rnacentral:tRNA from 1 species
CUUUAGUUAGCUUAAUUUAAAGUGUUAGACUCUUAAUCUAAUUAUAGUAGUUAUAUUCUACUACUAAAGG